ACGACAACAAGCAAUCAUACUAAAAAGGGGGCCAUUAGCACGUCGAUCAAGCCAUCGAUUUAUGCUGAAUGGGCAGGCGCUAAUGGGAAGCUAGACGCAGAUGGAAACCCUUUAGAGUGAUGGACUGCUGCUGCUACUACUCCAAAAAGGAGAUGAAACUAUGCUACGUAGAAAUAGAAGAAACUCCUGCACGCAAACUCGUACACGCCAUUGACGACCCUUGAUCCUUUUAGCGUGAGCUGUAUGCAUAAUCGUGGAUUAAAACCAAGCAUGAGUAGAUGGUGG